GGAUGCGAUCAUACCAGCACUAAAGGGCGGGAUCCCAUCAGAACUCCGAAGUUAAGCGUGCUUGGGCGAGAGUAGUACUAGGAUGGGUGACCUCUUGGGAAGUCCUCGUGUUGCAUCCC
rnacentral:rRNA from 1 species